GAUGAACGCUGGCGGCGUGCCUAAUACAUGCAAGUCGAGCGAACGGACGAGAAGCUUGCUUCUUUGAUGUUAGCGGCGGACGGGUGAGUAACAUGUGGAUAAUCUACUUAUCUGACUGGUAUCACUUCGGGAAACCGGAUCUUACACCGGAUAAUCUCUUGCACCGCAUGGUUCAAAAGUAAAAGACGGUCUUGCUGUCACUACUAGCUGCUUCUGGGCUGCAUUAGCUAGUUGUUAAGGUAACGGCCUAUCAAGGCAACGAUGCCUAGCCGAACUGAGAGGGUGAUCGGCGGCACGGGAGCUGGGACACGGUCCAGACUCCUACGGGAGGCAGCAGUAGGGAAUGGUACGCAAUGGGCGAAAGCCUGACGGAGCGAGGCGGCGUGAGUGAUGAAGGUCUUCGGAUCGUAAAACUCUGUUAUUAGGGAAGAACAUAUGUGUAAGGAACUGUGCACAUCUUGACGGUACCUAAUCAGAAAGCCACGGCUAACUACGUG
rnacentral:rRNA from 1 species